rnacentral:rRNA from 1 species
AUUGAACGCUGGCGGCAGGCCUAACACAUGCAAGUCGAGCGAGCGGCGGAAGGGUGAGUAAUGUCUGGGAAACUGCCUGAUGGAGGGGGAUAACUACUGGAAACGGUAGCUAAUACCGCAUACCAUCAGAUGUGCCAAGAUGGGGUUAGCUAGUAGGUGGGGUAAUGGCUCACCUAGGCGACGAUCCAUAGCUGGUCUGAGAGGAUGAUCUGCCACACUGGAACUGAGACACGGCCCAGACUCCUACGGGAGGCAGCAGUAGGGAAUAUUGCACAAUGGGCGCAAGCCUGAUGCAGCCAUGCCGCGUGAGUGAAGAAGGUCUUCGGGUUGUAAAGCACUUUCAGCGGGGAGGCGUUACCCACAGAGGAAGCACCGGCUAACUCCGUGCCAGCAGCCGCGGUAAUAC